GGUGCAAUGGUAGCACACAUGAAUUGUAAUCAUGUAGUAUAGGUUCAAAUCCUAUC
rnacentral:tRNA from 1 species